GGGCAAUUUGGUAAAGUAGAUUUAAUUAUCAAUAUAUCCAAGUUGAGUGGACUUUUGCACUUCAACAAAAUCAAAAAAAGUAGUACUACUCAACUUUCCUUUUUGCUUGUCCAUUUCUAUCUCUUUCUCUGUAAUUCACCCUCUCCAUUUGCAAGAUCUCUUAAUUGAAGAGGUUGUGCUUUAAUUUCCAAUGAGAAUUGUGAAACCUUUGAGCGGCUUUUCAAGCAAUGGCUUAUUUGUAUGGGUGGGAAGGCACCUUAUGCAAUUUUGACUGACCAAGCUGUUGCAUUCAGAAGGCCUUUAAGGUUGGUAAUGCCCGAAAUGAAAAAUCGAUGGUGCAUUUGGCAUAUAAUGCAAAAAUUUGGAAAAAAAAAAUUUAGGAAAGCACUCAAGUUAUGAAAUUUUGAAGGAACAAUUGAAGCAAGCAAUCUAUGAUGGUUUUACCGUAGAAGAGUUUGAACAACAGUGAGCAUAGGUAAUUAAGACUCACAAUGUUGAGUCUGAUAAGUUGCUCGAGGAGUUAUUUAAGCAGAGUACGAUGUGGACUCCGGUUCGUAUUCGUGAUACAUUUUGGGCUGGUAUGAUGACCACAUAAAGGGUGGAAAGCAUUAAUGCUUUCUUUGAUGGUUUCCUUAAUAGCAAAACCAAACUAUAUGAAUUUAUAGCGCAUUAUUGUUCAACAAUGGGCAAAAAGGUGGAGGAUAAAAAGGCUGCUGAUGCCUUGAGUGCCAUGAGACAUAGAAACCUAUCCAUGGGAUAUGUUGCUGAGAAAUUUUUUCGAAAGAUAUACACGGAUUCCAAGUUUCGAGAAGUCCAAAUUCAAUGUGAGAGGGUUACUUACUGCAACUCACGAGAGGAGACUAUGAUUUCUGCAAUUGAGGUAAGACAUGUGAUAGAGGAUCGACUUUGGGUUGUACCAAAAGGUACCUCCAAAGAAGUUGUCACCAAACAUAAGCGGUCCUAUGGUAUAACUUUUAACCACCAAAGUCUUGUGAUGGAUUAUGAUUGAAAAUUGUUUGUGAACAUGGCAUUAUGUGUAGACACAUGAUUCGGUUAUUAGAUUGGUAUGAUAUUUCUAUAAUUCCAGAUAUGUAUGUUCUUAAGCAAUGGAGGCGAGAUAUCCGUAGGAAGCACACACUAGUGAAGGUUCCGUACCAUGAUCCUUUCAACACUGUAGAAGGCAUGCGACAUCAUAAAAUGCAUUUGGAGUUUGAGCCAAUUUGUGAUGAAGCAGAUGAUGGUGAUGAUACAGUUCAGCUAGACAUUGAUGCCUUGAAAGAACUACAUAUGAAGUUGAUUGAGAUCAAAGGUAAAAGGAUUGUACUUUGGCAGAGGACAAUAUCCCAUCUUUAGUUGCUAACUUUGAUACUUAGUAGCCACCGUGCAAUCAUUAGUUGCUAAAGUCAAUUCUUCAACAAAUUCAUUGUCAACAACCAUCAAAUGGGCACACCAAGUGUUAACGCUAGUACAAACCACCUAAAGGAUCCAUCAUAUAAAAAGAAAAGAGGUAGGCCCGUGACCAAUCGACUACAAGGUGCUCACGAGAAGGGUGCUAAGACCACUAAAGGCAGGAACGUCGGAGGAUCCCAAGUGCAACAAUUGAUGGAAAAUUUGGAUUUCCAAUCAUUUGGAGGUAUUCAAUGUCAAAUGCCAUAUGUACAACCUAUGUAUUACACACCGUUCUCAUUUAAAAACUCAUACAGAUAUGGAAACAGUCAAGGGGUUCAAAAUGAAGGAAGUCGGGCUAAUUUUACUUAUGGUGAAAAUAUGCUUAUAUAUCGUAAUCUAAGCUAAAAAUGAUAUACAUAACCUCAACCAUAUAAGACUUUGGCCAUUUAUUUUGUUAUCGGAAGUGGCAUUACGGGAAUGUGGAAACUUGACCUUUUGUCUUAUGUUUUGGUAUAGUUUUUUGCACUUAAUGUAUGUAUAUUAUAAGCUAAUGUAAUGCAAGGGUAUGUUUACUUGCACCUAAAUAUAUUAUAAGCUAAUGUAAUGUAAGAAUAUGUUUAUUUGCACCUAAUAGUAUAUAUUAUAAGCUAAUGUAAUGCAAGAAUAUGUUUAUUUGCACCUAAUAGUAUAUAUUAUAAGCUAAUGUAAUGCAAGAAUAUGUUUAUUUGCACCUAAUAGUAUAUAUUAUAAGCUAAUGUAAUGCGAGGGUGUGUUUUUUUGUACAUAAUUGUAUAUAUUAUAAGCUAAUGGCAUUUAAGGGAAUGAUUUUUUGUAAUCUGA